CACGUAGGGGGCGAGCGUUGUCCGGAAUCAUUGGGCGUAAAGAGCUCGUAGGCGGCUCGGUAAGUCGGGUGUGAAACCCCCAGGCUCAACCUGGGGACGCCACCCGAUACUGCUGUGGCUAGAGUCCAGUAGGGGAGUGUGGAAUUCCCGGUGUAGCGGUGAAAUGCGUAGAGAUCUGGAGGAACACCGGUGGCGAAGGCGGCCCCCUGGUUCGAUACUGACGCUGAGGAGCGAAAGCGUGGGGAGCGAACAGG
rnacentral:rRNA from 1 species